CAGACGACGCUUACCUUGUCUGAAGUCUGAUUCCGAGGAAAUAACAGACGGACUUUCACUGGAAGUACUAAAGAUAUCGCUGUGGAGUGAUGGAUGUCCGUCCUGUCACUGUCUCCGCGUCGCAGCGCUGGUACCUGCCGGUCUCUCCAGAAAUGUCUCUGUCAGCUGCACAGAGCAAGUCCAUGGACGAAGCCCAGGUCUUCUUCUUAGAGAGUACAUCAAUUUGUGGAGUACUAGUUUUGAACUGAUAUGUCAAAUAUAACUCUGGUGCAAUUCAUUCUUCAAGUUUUCAACUCCUAUCUGCUGAUAAUCAUGGACUUAAAGUUUUGCACAGCAAUUACUUAUAAAAAAUGAUCUCAAUUCAUAAUUGAAGUCUAUCUGGUGACCAAUGGGACCACAGAAAAAGACAGUCUGAGAAGGAAGAAAGAUGAGGAGAGGAGACAGAAAGAUGAGACUGAGGAAGCUGGGCUAACAAGGUGGGAAGCCACCUGAGAUCCAUGUCACAAAUGACCUAAAUGCAAAAGACUGAGUUAUAAAGUUACAAAAAUGUUAAAGUGGGGAGAUCUUUGUCAUAAAUCAUCUAAUGCAAAAGUCUAAGAGUUAUAAAGUUAUAAGUUACAAAAAUGUUCAAGCAGGAAGAAACCAUUGUGGAUAGAAGAAGAAGAAAGCUAAGUGGUUGCUGUUGCAAUGUUUGGCCCGUGACUGGUUUUAUUUACAUUUUGGAAUAAAAAGAAGACAUGUCCUUGGGUAGGGAUGGAAACAGCACAUGGUAAAAGCAGAUGUCGGUUGGCCCAAACACAGGAUCUUUUAAACUAAAAUUUUAAACCAUUAUUUGUAAACCAACUACUCCUAUCUGGCCAGAUUAUCAUCACACUCUGUCAUAGUUUGUCACUCUGUGUCACACUCUGUCAUGCUAAUGAUGCUUUCUCUGUCUUUUUGUUUGUUUGUUUGUUUUUCGUUUUGGUUUUUCGAGACAG